GCCAGGUGUGGUGGUGCAUGACUGCAGUCCCAGAUUCCUGGGAGGCUGAUGUGGGAGGAUUGCUUGAAUCCAUGAGUUCUGGGCUGUAGUGUGCUAUGCCAGUUGGUUGUCUGCACUAAGUUCAGAAUCAAUAUGGUGACCUCCUUGGAGCAAAUCACCAUUUGCCUAAGGAGGGGUAAACGGGUCCGGCUGGAAACGGAGCAGGUCAAAAUUCCCAUGCUGAUUAGUCAUGGGACCACGUCUGUGAAUAGCUACUGCACUCAACCCUGGGCAAUAAGCAAGACCCUGUCUU
rnacentral:SRP_RNA from 1 species